rnacentral:rRNA from 1 species
UACAGGGGGGGCAAGCGUUGUUCGGAAUUACUGGGCGUAAAGGGCCAGUAGGCGGCCAACUAAGUCACACGUGAAAUCCCCAGGCUUAACCUGGGAACUGCGUGUGAUACUGGAUGGCUUGAAUUCGGGAGAGGGAUGCAGAAUUCCAGGUGUAGCGGUGAAAUGCGUAGAUAUCUGGAGGAAUACCGGUGGCGAAGGCGGCAUCCUGGACCGACAUUGACGCUGAACGGCGAAAGCUAGGGGAGCAAACCGG